rnacentral:rRNA from 1 species
CUACGGGUUGCACCAGUGAGGAAUAUUGCACAAUGGGGGGAACCCUGAUGCAGCAACGCCGCGUGGAGGAUGACGCAUUUCGGUGUGUAAACUCCUUUUAUAUGUCAAGAAAAUGACGGUAGCAUAUGAAUAAGCACCGGCUAACUCCGUGCCAGCAGCCGCGGUAAUACGGAGGGUGCAAGCGUUACUCGGAAUCACUGGGCGUAAAGGACGCGUAGGCGGGUUGGAAAGUCAGGUGUGAAAUCCUACAGCUUAACUGUAGAACUGCACUUGAAACUUCUAAUCUAGAGUAUGGGAGGGGGAGAUGGAAUUAGUGGUGUAGGGGUAAAAUCCGUAGAUAUCACUAGGAAUACCUAAAGCGAAGGCGAUCUCCUGGAACAUUACUGACGCUAAGGCGUGAAAGCGUGGGGAGCAAACAGGAUUAGAUACCCGAGUAGUC